rnacentral:rRNA from 1 species
UACGUAGGGGGCAAGCGUUGUCCGGAAUCAUUGGGCGUAAAGAGCUCGUAGGCGGCUUGUCGCGUCUGCCGUGAAAGUCCGGGGCUCAACUCCGGAUCUGCGGUGGGUACGGGCAGACUAGAGUGAUGUAGGGGAGACUGGAAUUCCUGGUGUAGCGGUGAAAUGCGCAGAUAUCAGGAGGAACACCAAUGGCGAAGGCAGCUCGCUGGGACGGUACUGACGCUGAGGCGCGAAAGCGUGGGGAGCAAACAGG